rnacentral:rRNA from 1 species
GACGAACGCUGGCGGCGUGCUUAACACAUGCAAGUCGAACGGAAAGGCCCUGCUUUUGUGGGGUGCUCGAGUGGCGAACGGGUGAGUAACACGUGAGUAACCUGCCCUUGACUUUGGGAUAACUUCAGGAAACUGGGGCUAAUACCGGAUAGGAGCUCCUGCUGCAUGGUGGGGGUUGGAAAGUUUCGGCGGUUGGGGAUGGACUCGCGGCUUAUCAGCUUGUUGGUGGGGUAGUGGCUUACCAAGGCUUUGACGGGUAGGCGGCCUGGGAGGGUGACCGGGCACAUUGGGACUGAGAGACGGAGCAGACUCCUACGGGACGCAGCAGUGGGGAAUAUUGCACAAUGGGCGGAAGCCUGAGGCAGCAACGCCGCGUGCGGGAUGACGGCCUUCGGGUUGUAAACCGCUUUCGCCUGUGACGAAGCGUGAGUGACGGUAAUGGGUAAAGAAGCACCGGCUAACUACGUG